rnacentral:ncRNA from 1 species
UGAUAGCGUAGAAGCGUGAGGUUGCCAUAUGAAGAAUAUGGGUUUUCCGUGGAGCGAAUGUCAAGAGCCGAAAGGCUUAACAAACUGGCGACAA